GUCGCUGCCAAUUCAGCGACCGGGCCUGAGAACCCGAGUAAGAUACAGGCGCACAAGCGCCCAUAAUCACGAGUGUUGGCGUUUUUUUG
rnacentral:sRNA from 1 species